rnacentral:lncRNA from 1 species
GCUGGGAAAGGAUCGGCUGGUCCAGAAAGAUUAUGGCUCUCACAUUAGCACCAGGGCUGGGCUGUGGCUUAGCUGCCUGUCCAGAGUUCUAGCUAAUGGGUCUUUAAGAACUUUACUUCCCUGCCCACUUUCUGAUAGUUAGAAAGCCCAUCCAUAAAGUUUCUUGCCUUGGGCAGAAAGUUUCUAUCCCUAUCUCAAAACAACAUGUAGGGGCCCUUUAAGGCAAAAACCUUAAGCUAUUUCCUGUCUUCUCUUUUGCAUUCAGGAAAUACUCUUUGAGCUGCUGAACACUUUAGUGUUCAGCCCCUUAACCUAAGGAGGAGCUACACAAAUGAAGAACUGUGGAACUGACCUCAGAUGCUCUCUCGUUGGAAAUUGGCACGCAAACCACAACCACGAUGGCGGCUUCUGAGAGGUGGAGGAGAGGGGUGUGGCAAAGCAGCAAGGAAGGGGGUCUGGGGUCCAGCCCAGCUGGGACAGUGAAGGUUCCCUGUUCAAGGGGACUCUGUUCCUUGGACAAUGAUUGCUUCCUUUAUGCUCUGGAGUCCAGCAGAGACUGACACACAGUUGGGGCUAAACACGUCUGAGGGUGAUGAAACUCCCAUUUCUGACGCCGUCAACUUGUUUUCUGUAAUGUUAGCCCUGCCAUAUUCCAGCUCGACAGAGCUUGGGCAGCCCGAGGUGGUGACUGUAUUUGGCCAUCAGCCAUGUCCCUUGCAGGGCCAGUCUCUGAGGUGCCAUGAGACCUUCUGUGCCUGGCAAGCCGGGGCACUUCGGAGAAUGGCAGCUGCCUGGUUUCUCAGGGGAGCAACUACAUUCCUAAGUCGCUUGGGGAUCGCUUGACUUCCCUCAUUCAUUCACCCAUCCUUCCAUCCAUCUAUUCCUUCAUCCAGCAAAUUGGACCCCUUCCGUGUGCCAGACACUGUUCUGAGCAGAAGCACCUGCCCUUGAGGAAGUGACACUCCAGUGGGGAGAGACAAGUAAGCUCACAAAGAUCUAUCUGCAAAAUCAAAUUCCAGGUAGUGAUCAGUGCCACGAACAAAAAUAAAAAUGAAUAAAGAGAUGUAAAAUGAUUUCCUUCCCCAAGGGCAGAGGAUUCUUUCUAGCAGGUUAUUUGGAAAAGUUCCCUCUGAAGAGGUGACAUUUGAUCAUUGUUAAAGUCACAUGCAUCAUUGUGAACAUUUCACAAAACACAGAAGAACCUAAUGCUUUCGCACAAACCAUCAUCUAGAAAUCACACCAUCUCAACAUCUUGUCGUUUAAAAAUUGAUAUAUAAUAAUGGUACAUAUUUCUGGGGUCCCUGUGAUAUUUUGAUACAUGCAGACAAUGUGUAAUGAUCAAAUCAGGGUAAUUAGGCUAUCCAUCACUUCAAACAUGUAUCAUUUCUUUGCCAAUGCCUUGUCUUUUGUCGUCUUAAAGUACAGAUUUGCAUCAUGCUUUUUAAAAUUUAACAUUACACUAUAAUUAUUUUGUAGCUGUGUUUAUGUUUUUCUGUUUUCAAGUAUCAAUAUAUAGUAUGGAUUUUUAAAAAAUUGGUACUGUAAAUGUACAUGAAGUUUUUCUGUCUUUACAAAAGAAGUGCAUAUUGUUGUAUGAAUUCUAGAAAAUCAAGAUAAGGAAGAAAAUUAAAAUCCUUCAUAAUCCUACUCAUUGAGCAUACUGGUCUAUGUCUUUCCCAUUUUUUCCUUCCUUAUAAACAUGGAAAGACAUCAUACCUAGAGCAUGUUCAGUUUGUGUCUGGCUUUUUCAUAAUCAUACUUUAAAACUGGAAAGCUGGUGUGUGCAAGUGGCAGGGGGAGCUUACCUCACAGGACACAGCAGCAGAACCCAUGGGCUUUGGCCCACUCUGCC